CGCUGGCAUUCGCAUGGACGCAAGUCUGACGGAGCAACGCCGCGUGAGUGAUGAAGGUUUUCGGAUCGUAAAGCUCUGUUGUGAGGGAAGAACAACUGCCGUUCGACAGGGCGGCACCUUGACGGUACCUCACCAAAAAGCCCCGGUUAACUACUUGCCACCAGCCGCGGUAAUCCUUAGGGGGCAGGCGUUGUCCGGAUUUAUGGGGCGUAAAGCGGCCGCAGGGGGUUCCUUAAUCUUGAGGUGAAACGCCCCGGCUCACCUGUGGAGGGCCUUUGAAAACUGGGAAAUUUGAGGACAAAAAAGGAGAGGGAAUUUCCACGUGUACCGGUGAAAUGCGUAUAUUUGUGGAGAAACCCCAGUGGCAAAGGCGGCUCUCUGGUCUGUAACUGACGCUGAGGCCCGAAACCAUGGGUAGCAAACAGGAUUAGAUCCCCUGGUAGUCCAUGCCGAAAACGUUGAGUGCUAGGUGUUAGGGGGUCCCACCCUUAAUGCUGCCCCAACACAUUAAGCACUCCCCCCGGG
rnacentral:rRNA from 1 species